AUUGAACGCUGGCGGCAGGCCUAACACAUGCAAGUCGAACGAGCGGCGGACGGGUGAGUAAUGUAUGGGAAACUGCCCGAUAGAGGGGGCUAACUACUGGAAACGGUGGCUAAUACCGCAUACUAUCGGAUGACCCCAUAUGGGAUUAGCUAGUAGGUGGGGUAAAGGCUCACCUAGGCGACGAUCCCUAGAUGGUCUGAGAGGAUGAGCAGUCACACUGGGACGGAGACACGGCCCAGACUCCUACGGGAGGCAGCAGUGGGGAAUAUUGCACAAUGGGCUCAAGCCUGAUGCAGCCAUGCCGCGUGUAUGAAGAAGGCCUUAGGGUUGUAAAGUACUUUCAGCGGGGAGGCGUUACCCGCAGAAGAAGCACCGGCUAACUCCGUGCCAGCAGCCGCGGUAAUUC
rnacentral:rRNA from 1 species